GUAGGAUCUCAUUCACAAGGGGUUUGGACACCAUAAUUGACUACAAUGAUGAUCUUGAUAACCUUGAUAACAACUUUUGGUUUGGGAUCCUUGUUUUACAGUACUCAGAGGUCAAUACAAUUAUUACGACUGUGAUGUGGUGAUGAACCUAGUUCCGACCAGUAGUGAGAGUACACAGGAUCCUACUGUGCCAGAAGAAGACAUAUACGCCAACAGCAUGAUACCGUGUCAGGCCAGUAGACAGGGACGCAAACAAGACCUAGAGGCACCCAAUCCGGUUCCCAAACCCCUGCCUUCCACCAAAGCCAUCUCUGAGACAGACUGAACCAGCCUGCCCAGUCCCAUCGCUGACACUGCUACAGUUCCAGGAGAAGGCACAGCAAAGAAGGAUGGGGAUGAUGUGUUGUAUUCCAGUGUGAUUUGGGAGAAGAAGAAGUGGAUGAAGAAGAAGAACGAGCGGUCCGUGGACGGUGGAAGGGAGGCGUCUAGCGGUUCCUACCUGGAGGAAGAAAAGUGUGUGCUAGGAAAUGUAGGCAGACGCAGAAUGAGUAAGGCACUGGAGAUGGAUAACCUGCAGUUUCUCUAGUUUUUCAUGAAUUUACUGUAGGCCUAUUGUACUUUCACAAAGAUAUAUUGCUCUUAAUGAACGUAUAACGCUGUUUUCUUCACCAUAAA